GCUAUCUUUGGCUCCCCCUAGGCCCUAACCUCUGCUCUUUUCUCUGCAAGAAACUUUACCAUUUUUUUUUAUGGAGAAAUCAGAAGGAUCCAUUGUUGAAACAAGAAAGGAACUUAUGGUUUCACUCUCUGGUGAUGCACAGCCAACACUUAGAACAGCCCAUUUUAUCAAACCCUCAAUUACCUCCUCCAUUGAUGAAAACACGCCCAAACACCCUUCACACUACAACUCAUUGCCCUCUAAAUUUGAACCCAAAAAGUGGCCUUUAAGAAUCACAUUCCAUGGGUGGAGAUAUCCUCAAAGGAAGUGGAAAGAAUGGGUUGAUAAAAUGGCUGCUUUGCAUGAAACAACAUGGAGAAAAGUUGGAAUCUAUCAAGCAGUCAUGAGUUCUCUUUACCAAAUCGGAAGAAACGAUGAUUUGCUUCUUGGGUUAGCAGAGAAAUGGUGUUUCGAAACUAACACAUUCAUUUUUCCUUGGGGUGAAGCAACAAUCACCUUGGAAGAUAUUUUGGUUGCAGGGUACGCUGUUUUGGGGUCCCCUGUUUUUAGCCCUCCUGAAACAGAGGAAUUGAAAGAAGCUGAACAAAAGCUAAUGGAAAUCAGAAAACAGUUGAGGCGGUCUAAAGCAAAAAAAGUGAACCAACAUUCCUGGAUUAAAUAUCUCAUGGAAAACAACAGCGAAGUAGAGCACGAGGCUUUUCUAUCACUAUGGUUGUCAAGGUUUGUUUUUCCCAGUCUCCCAUUUAUGGGAAUUUCCAUACAUCUUUAUCCAAUUGCUGUUUGUCUAGCUAGAGGUAUCAAAAUUGCACUUGGACCUGCCCUUCUUGCAAGCAUUUACCGAGACUUGAGGUUGUUGAAGAAAAAGAUUCUAGCUUUGUCCAAUUUAGAGUCUUUUGAGGAUGACAAUGAUGAUCAAAAGUUAGAACUCACCAUUUGGUCACCAUUUCAUAUAGUUCAGGUUUGGGCCUGGGAGAGGUUUCCAAAAUUGCAACCAAAGCCUAAUGUGACUGACUUUGAAGUGCCGAGAUUAGCUAGAUGGCAUAAUGUGAAUAGUUCAACCGUUAGGAAUGUAAGUUUGGCCCUAGAUUCUGAAGGAAGUUUCCAGUGGCGCCCUUAUGCCACAGCCGUGGAGAGUUUGUGCUACAAAAUUUAUGGUGAUGAAGAGAAGUGGGUGCUUGUUGAUGUUGAUGUUGAUGAGGAAUUGAAGUCCUUUACUCGAUACUUGCGAGCAUGUGAACUAGUUGGAAUAGGGUGUGUAGAGCAGUACAGCCCACAUCGAGUGGCAAUGCAGUUUGGUAUGGAUCAAGAUCUUCCAGGUCCUGUAAAGAGAAGGAAUGAAACUCAAGAACUUUCCUGGAAGCGUUUUGAUAAGCAAAUCAAGAAUGGAAUGCUAUAUAUUCCAUCAAGACAUUGUAAGCCAGAUGUUACUUUGAGAUACUUGGAAUGGUGGAAGCAAUCAGUGGUUGGUGCGAAAGAUGGAAAUGGAAAUCCAAAAAGUGCAGAGAUUUCGGCGCCAAGUUUCAAAGGGAAGAAGUCAGAUCAUGAUCCUCUGUGCCCUCCUGGUUUCCCUCCUGGAUGUCAACAUGUUGAAGUCUUGGACUCUGAUGAGGAGGAUAAUCUAACAUUGAAGGAGUUGUUUACUCAUAAAAAGCUCAAAAUUGUUGAUCAUAGAAUGUAUGGUGAUCGCAAGUCUUCUCUGGCAACUACGCAUAGUCUGUUAUAUUCUUCCGCAGAAAACAAUGAUGUUACAAAUGUAGAUGCAGAGAUGAAAUUGAAGGAAAACAGCUUUCAGAAGGAACCUAGGAGUGGAAAAGAAAGCACAACCACGGAAAACACCAGCAAAAACAAAUUAGAUAGCCCUAGUCCAGAACGUCAUGGUGCUGGUUUUCUUAAAGAUGAUGAAAGAGGAAGUAGGAGUCGUUUUGAUAUUCACACAGAUGGAUUAGAACUUGAAGCUCGGAUCGACAAGCUUAGGAAAGAAAUUGAUGGGCUAAAGGCUGCUAAAUUUAGCCAGAAGAAGGUUUGUCUGACCAACAAUAUGAACUUGUAGUUAAUACAAAUAGAAUUAACAUGCCGAGUCAGGUCGAUAUAUAGAGUUCUACAGCUCUUUUGGCUUUUUUUGUAGUUACCUUGUUGCAUGAAACAAAUUGUACCAGCAUUGUGCAAUGUUUCAUUUUUUAGUCAGUUCUUAGCUGAGUUUCUCUGUGUGAAUGAAGCAAACUGAUGGUGAGAAUCUUUGCUUGCUUAGCCAUUAUCAGUGGAUAUAGGAUCAGUUAACAAACUACAAGCAAUCGCAUAGGCUUGUUAGAAUUAUUCGUGGAAAAGGCUAGGGUCAAGUCCUGUGAGGUCACUGGACUUGACCCAUUAAAUUUGAAAUUGGAAAUGUUAGGCAGACUCUUUUGCUGUUUUUGGUUCACAAGGUCAUGAUCUUGUUUGGAAUGAAUAGAAAAGAUGGAAGCUUGAUGUUUGCACUGUGAAGUCAGUUCUAGCAAGGUGCUAAUUAGUAUAGAUCUAAUUCCAAUCACACAAAGGAUAAAGGAUUAGAGAGAGAAGGAUAAUCCUCUUCUAUAGCCUUUUAGCCUGAAAUUCAAUGGAUUUCAUAAUUAAAUCUUAUCUUUUCUUAGAGCAUCCACGUCCAUGCUCUCAAUUGAGGCUCUUUAGCUAUAGUAACUCGCAGGUAUUUUUUUUCCAUCCAUGGCAUUGUUGCUCCUCAAAUGAACUCCCUAUCCAAGUUUUGUGAACACCGCUACAUAUAGUGAGUACUACUGUAGCACUCUUCAAUUUGCGUGGAGGGUGACAGUAGCGGGAGAAGGAAAUGAUUCGUGGGAAAGGAAGGAGUGGAGGGCUGCAGCAGUGCUCUUCUUGCCAUUAGCUGCUGCUUCUAGUUACUGUUUUGGUUGCUGCUCAGUCCAUGGUGAUGGCUGAUACGGCGGCGUGGGGCUGUGUUGAGAUGAGUUGGGGCUGUUUGGAUUGGGUUCUUGAGCAGCGAGGUGGUGGUGAUCAAGGAGAAGAAGCUGGUGGGCUUUGUUCACUUUCUUUUACGCAGUAACAUAGAGCUUUGCUAGAUGUCCAUGUUCCAGGCUGCUUUAUGCCUAUGCAGUAACAUAGAGCUUUGCAA